rnacentral:rRNA from 1 species
UACAGAGGUCUCGAGCGUUAGGCGGAAUCACUGGGCUUAAAGCGUGUGUAGGCGGAUCGGUAAGUACCUUGUGAAAUCCCACAGCUUAACUGUGGAACUGCUUGGUAUACUGCCAGUCUUGAGCCAGCUAGGGGCUACCGGAACAAAUGGUGGAGCGGUGAAAUGCGUAGAUAUCAUUUGGAACGCCAAUGGUGAAAACAGGUAGCUGGGGCUGUGCUGACGCUGAGACACGAAAGCCAGGGGAGCGAGCGGG